GACGAACGCUGGCGGCGUGCCUAAUACAUGCAAGUCGAACGAGAGCGACCGGUGCUUGCACUGGUCAAUCUAGUGGCGAACGGGUGAGUAACACGUGGGUAACCUGCCCAUCAGAGGGGGAUAACAUCCGGAAACGGAUGCUAAAACCGCAUAGGUCUUCGAACCGCAUGGUUUGAAGAGGAAAAGAGGCGCACGCUUCUGCUGAUGGAUGGACCCGCGGUGCAUUAGCUAGUUGGUGAGGUAACGACUCACCAAGGCCGUGAUGCAUAGCCGACCUGAGAGGGUGAUCGGCCACAUUGGGACUGAGACACGGCCCAAACUCCUACGGGAGGCAGCAGUAGGGAAUCUUCCGCAAAGGACGCAAGUCUGACGGAGCAACGCCGCGUGAGUGAAGAAGGUUUUCGGAUCGUAAAACUCUGUUGUUAGAGAAGAACAAGUGCUAGAGUAACUGUUAGCGCCUUGACGGUAUCUAACCAGAAAGCCACGGCUAACUACGUG
rnacentral:rRNA from 1 species